rnacentral:rRNA from 1 species
GAUGAACGCUAGCGGCAGGCCUAAUACAUGCAAGUCGAACGGUGUCUUCGGACAUAGUGGCGCACGGGUGCGUAACACGUAUGCAACCUACCUUACAUUGGGGGAUAGCCUUUCGAAAGGGAGAUUAAUACCGCAUAAGACAGUAGCUGGGCAUCCAGUAGCUGUUAAAGAUUUAUCGAUGUAAGCUGGGCAUGCGUCCAAUUAGUUAGUUGGUGAGGUAAUGGCUCACCAAGACGAUGAUUGGUAGGGGAACUGAGAGGUCAAUCCCCCACACUGGCACUGAGAUACGGGCCAGACUCCUACGGGAGGCAGCAGUAGGGAAUAUUGGGCAAUGGACGCAAGUCUGACCCAGCCAUGCCGCGUGCAGGAAGAAGGCGUUCUGCGUUGUAAACUGCUUUUAUAUAGGAAGAAACGACCCUUGCGAGGGGCAUUGACGGUAUUAUAUGAAUAAGCUCCGGCUAACUCCGUGCCAGCCGCCGCUGUAACAC